rnacentral:lncRNA from 1 species
GCUGCUCGGAGCUACCAAGGACAUCGAACCACUCAGCCCAACCCUCCCCCCGAGUCAUUUCCUGCCUCCGUGGGGACGGGCUCGAGAAAGUCCCGCGGAGCAGCGACCAGCGGCAGACGACACCCAAGGCAGGAGGAUGAACUUCUUCAUCGCCGCGCUCCUGGUUCUGCAGUUCGUGCCAGGGAAUGCAGAGGUAGAAGACGACGAGGAGGAGAUCACACAGUUUUUAUUCGACUACGCAGCUCGUUACAGUGAUUACCUCUAUUCCACGGGAGACUAUUACUACGACAACACCACGGGAAUGCCCACCCCCUACACCUUUGAGAUGGAUUCCUACGAGACAAACACCAUCGGGGAUUUUGGGCAGUGGUUUCCACAAGAGGAUGCCACCACCAAGAUUUCGGGGAUACCAGACACGGAUGCUCCAGGGGAUUCCAGGAAUGCCAAGGACAGUCAGGAUUUCUGGGAGUCAGCAGGAUCACCCCUCCAGAGCCACCUCCCCCUCGUCACCCUCCUCAGUCUCCGGGGUCUCCUGCUAUGACCCCCCCAUGUUCCUCCUCCAAAGGUAUUCCAGGAUUUCAACACUUGUUCAAAGUGUGUCCUUCAACCCUGGAAAAUCCAAUUCUCUCUGAAGCAGCAACUUUCCAAAACAAUGGAAAGAUAACAAACCCUCCCAGGCAUCUGGCUGCGAUACCAGGGGACCCCCAGCAGCUCCAAUGGCCACUGAUGGCCUGGAGAGGCUUUUCAGGGAGUUUUCCCAAUGACCUCCUGGCUUUCAGUGGGAGCUUCCACGGGGCGAGCACCCGUUUGGCCCACACUGGGUCUCAGCCCCAGGUACCUCCUGCUGCUCAUCCGCCCAAACCCUUGUUCCAUAACAUCCUGGAAUGGUCUGUGUUGGGGUGAACCUUGAAGACCACCCCCUUCCAUGGGCAGGGACACCUCCCACCAACCCGUGUCGCUCCAAGCCCCGUCCCACCCGGCCAACCUCUUCCCGUGGCUGGAGCUCUCCGGUGUCCCAGGAACACCCCGACCCCAUCCCGCCACACGCAGGGCCGUGAACUUCCUCACCUUCUCCCCUUGUUCCAGGCACAGCAGCUGGGAUGGAGAUCACAACUUCAUCAGGUGUUGGCAACGACAAACAACAUCCUCCCCCCACGAGGCGCCGCCUCCGCUCCGGAACCGCCGUGACUCUCCCGAAGGUUCCAACGGGGGGACUGUGACCACGGUGCAAACUCGGAGAGCUUUGUAAUGCCUCCAGUCCUUUCCUAUUUCCUCUGAUUCUGUUGUAAAUAGGAGCCCCUGCCAAUAAAAUCCCCGACAACCGGCGCA